ACAACCGAGAAGCGUCUGCAGCCAAAAAGUAAAACAACAACAGCAACAACAACAGUCAAAACCAGUUAAAAGUGACAGGCAAACCAAUUAAAACAAUUUUAACAGCACCGUUACAAAAACGAAAAGAAAAAAAAACAAACAAAAAACAAACAAAUCAAUAAAAUACACAAAAAACAUCAAUCUAUCUGCAUAAGUAAAUUGUAAAGCGAUUUAACUCGAUUGGAAAACCAUUUAAAGUGCACACCAGAAAUUAGGAUAAAGCGGAUCAGCCGAGCAAAGUACAAGAUAAAAGGAGCACAACAAGAGACAGACUGAAAAACAGAGAGCGAGAGAGAGAGAGAUCCUAUAAAAAUGGUUAACUGAGUCGCCAACAUAGCCAACUAUCAGAAACAGAACCUGUUGGGCAGCCAUCACCAUCUGCUCCACAUCGCCGAACCGAAUCAACUGCAACUGCUGCCCGCAGUGACUACGACGACGACGACGCCGACUUCA